AUUGAACGCUGGCGGCAUGCUUUACACAUGCAAGUCGAACGGUAACAGGGUGCUUGCACCGCUGACGAGUGGCGAACGGGUGAGUAAUGCGUCGGAACGUGCCGAGUAGUGGGGGAUAACGCAGCGAAAGUUGUGCUAAUACCGCAUACGUACUGAGGUAGAAAGUGGGGGACCUUCGGGCCUCACGCUAUUCGAGCGGCCGGCGUCUGAUUAGCUAGUAGGUGAGGUAAAGGCUCACCUAGGCGACCAUCAGUAGCGGGUCUGAGAGGAUGAUCCGCCACACUGGGACUGAGACACGGCCCAGACUCCUACGGGAGGCAGCAGUGGGGAAUUUUGGACAAUGGGCGAAAGCCUGAUCCAGCCAUGCCGCGUGUCUGAAGAAGGCCUUCGGGUUGUAAAGGACUUUUGUCAGGGAGGAAAUCCCUAGUGCUAAUAACACUGGGGGAUGACAGUACCUGAAGAAUAAGCACCGGCUAACUACGUGCCAGCAGCCGCCGCCG
rnacentral:rRNA from 1 species